CCAGCUACUGCAACUUGUUCCCUUCACUUCUGAAUUCGGCUACUUUUAUUUAUGCUUCCUUUGACUUGAUUUGGUGAUCUAUAGCAAUAAGUUUCUACAUGUUCCACUCGCAGCUGCAAGCUUGGUGAAAGCAAGAUCAUCCUCUGUGAAGAAGGUUGCAAGCACAAGUUGCAGAAGCUGCAGCUUAACUAUCCAAGUGAUGAUGUAACCUUUGCCCUCAAGGAAUCCCCAGAUCUUCCUUGGUUGCCCAAGUACUUGUGAAGCUCAUACUGCUGUGAUCGUAUUUUCCUAGCGUUGCAUAUCUGUCCUUUUGGGGAGCAACAACUCUGACAAUUUUAUCUGCAUGCCUUGCAAUCACACAGAUCCCAUGGUCGAUCUCAUGGGUAUUCUAGCCUCCGAUCUGCGAAGGAACCGGCGAAGGAUGCCGUUGCACCGAACGAAUCACAUGCGUUUCUUCAGUUGCACACCAGAACUGUAAGAUGUGGAUAAACUUGUACGCCUGGAAUUUCGCCACAUUUGAAGUAUGUUGCAUUGAAUCUCCUCGUCUGAGCUGAUCCAACGGAUUUGUAGCUCCACUAUUUGAAACUAUGAACUCUGUAUUGUAAGAACAUUGUGAGAUUUCUUUUGGAAAAAAAACAUUGAGAAAUCAAAGAUGUACUAUCGCCGGUGUUGUAAGAAC